rnacentral:rRNA from 1 species
AGCGAACGCUGGCGGCAGGCUUAACACAUGCAAGUCGAACGCCCCGCAAGGGGAGUGGCAGACGGGUGAGUAACACGUGGGAACGUACCCUUUGGUUCGGAAUAACUUGGGGAAACUCAAGCUAAUACCGGAUAAGCCCUUAUGGGGAAAGAUUUACUGCCGAAGGAUCGGCCCGUGUCUGAUUAGCUAGUUGGUGUGGUAAUGGCUGACCAAGGCGACGAUCAGUAGCUGGUCUGAGAGGAUGAUCAGCCACACUGGGACUGAGACACGGCCCAGACUCCUACGGGAGGCAGCAGUGGGGAAUAUUGGACAAGGGGGGCAACCCUGAUCCAGCCAUGCCGCGUGAGUGAUGAAGGCCUUAGGGUUGUAAAGCUCUUUUACCCGGGACGAUAAUGACUGUACCGGGAGAAUAAGCCCCGGCUAACUUCGUGCCAGCCGCCGCCGUAA